UACGUAGGUGGCAAGCGUUGUCCGGAUUUACUGGGUGUAAAGGGAGCGCAGGCGGGGAUUCAAGUUGGAUGUGAAAUGUCACGGCUUAACCGUGGAACUGCAUCCAAAACUGAAUUUCUUGAGUGGAGUAGAGGCAAGCGGAAUUCCGAGUGUAGCGGUGAAAUGCGUAGAUAUUCGGAGGAACACCAGUGGCGAAGGCGGCUUGCUGGGCUCUAACUGACGCUGAGGCUCGAAAGUGUGGGGAGCAAAC
rnacentral:rRNA from 1 species